GACGAACGCCGGCGGCGUGCUUAACACAUGCAGGUCGAACGGAAAGGCUCCAGCUUGCUGGAGUACUCGAGUGGCGAACGGGUGAGUAACACGUGGGUAAUCUGCCCUGCACUCUGGGAUAAGCCUGGGAAACUGGGUCUAAUACUGGAUAUGACCUUUCUCCUUAUGGGGUUUGGUGGAAAGUUUUUCGGUGUAGGAUGAGCCCGCGGCCUAUCAGCUUGUUGGUGGGGUGAUGGCCUACCAAGGCGACGACGGGUAGCCGGCCUGAGAGGGUGAUCGGCCACAUUGGGACUGAGAUACGGCCCAGACUCCUACGGGAGGCAGCAGUGGGGAAUAUUGCACAAUGGGCGGAAGCCUGAUGCAGCGACGCCGCGUGAGGGAUGACGGCCUUCGGGUUGUAAACCUCUUUCGGCAGGGACGAAGCGUAAGUGACGGUACCUGCAGAAGAAGCACCGGCUAACUAUGU
rnacentral:rRNA from 1 species